UCCUCGGUAGUAUGGUAGGGUCAGUAUCCCCGCCUGUUUUGCGGGAGGGCGGGAGUUCGAUUCCCCGCCGGGGAG